GAUGAACGCUGGCGGCGUGCCUAAUACAUGCAAGUCGAGCGAACAGACGAGGAGCUUGCUCCUCUGACGUUAGCGGCGGACGGGUGAGUCACACGUGGAUAACCUACCUAUAAGACUGGGAUAACUUCGGGAAACCGGAGCUAAUACCGGAUAAUAUAUUGAACCGCAUGGUUCAAUAGUGAAUGACGGCUUUGCUGUCACUUAUAGAUGGAUCCGCGCCGCAUUAGCUAGUUGGUAAGGUAACGGCUUACCAAGGCAACGAUGCGUAGCCGACCUGAGAGGGUGAUCGGCCACCCUGGAACUGAGACACGGUCCAGACUCCUACGGGAGGCAGCAGUAGGGAAUCUUCCGCAAUGGGCGAGAGCCUGACGGAGCAACGCCGCGCGAGUGAUGAAGGUCUUCGGAUCGUAAAACUCUGUUAUUAGGGAAGAACAAAUGUGUAAGUAACUAUGCACGUCUUGACGGUACCUAAUCAGAAAGCCACGGCUAACUACGUG
rnacentral:rRNA from 1 species